rnacentral:piRNA from 1 species
UACAAAAGAAGAAAUAGCAGCCUCAUGAC